rnacentral:rRNA from 1 species
UACGUAGGUCCCGAGCGUUGUCCGGAUUUAUUGGGCGUAAAGCGAGCGCAGGUGGUUUAUUAAGUCUGGUGUAAAAGGCAGUGGCUCAACCAUUGUAUGCAUUGGAAACUGGUAGACUUGAGUGCAGGAGAGGAGAGUGGAAUUCCAUGUGUAGCGGUGAAAUGCGUAGAUAUAUGGAGGAACACCGGUGGCGAAAGCGGCUCUUUGGCCUGUAACUGACACUGAGGCUCGAAAGCGUGGGGAGCAAACAGG